CCUACGGGAGGCUGCAGUGGGGAAUAUUGCACAAUGGGGGAAACCCUGAUGCAGCGACGCCGCGUGAGUGAGGAAGUAUUUCGGGAUGUAAAGCUCUAUCAGCAGGGAAGAAAAUGACGGUACCUGACUAAGAAGCCCCUGCUAACUCCGUGACAGCAACCGCGGUAAUACGUAGGGGGCAAACGUUAUCCGGAUUUACUGGGUGUAAAGUGAACGCAGACGGAAUGGCAAGUCUGAUGUGAAAAUCCGGGGCCCAACCCCGGAACUGCAGUGGAAUCUGUAUUUCUAGAGUGUCGGAGAGGCAAGUGGCAUUCCAGGUGUAGCGGUGAAAUGCGUAGAGAUCAGGAGGAACACCAGUGGCGAAGGCGGCUUGCUGGACGAUGACUGACGUUGAGGCUCGAAAGCGUGGGGAGCAAACAGGAUUAGAUACCCUUGUAGUC
rnacentral:rRNA from 1 species